UACGGAGGUGGCGAGCGUUGCUCGGAUUUACUGGGUGUAAAGGGCACGUGGGCGGUCUUGUAAGCCCUGCCUGAAAGACUCUGGCUCAACCAGAGUAGGCGGUAGGGGACUGCAGGACUUGAGGAUGGGAGAGGCAAGCGGAAUUCCCGGUGUAAGGGUGAAAUCUGUAGAGAUCGGGAGGAACACCAGUGGCGAAGGCGGCUUGCUGGACCAUUUCUGACGCUGAGGUGCGAAAGCUAGGGGAGCGAACAGG
rnacentral:rRNA from 1 species